rnacentral:rRNA from 1 species
GUGUCAGCAGCCGCGGUAAGACGGAGGAGGCAAGCGUUGUCCGGAAUCAUUGGGCGUAAAGAGCGCGUAGGCGGUUUUUCAAGUCGUAUGUGAAAACUUCAGGCUUAACCUGAUGAUUGCAUAUGAAACUGGAUAACUUGAGUACAGCAGAGGAAAGUGGAAUUCCUGGUGUAGCGGUGAAAUGUGCAGAUAUCAGGAAGAACACCAGUAGCGAAGGCGGCUUUCUGGGCUGUUACUGACGCUGAGGCGCGAAAGCUAGGGGAGCGAACAGGAUUAGAUACCCUGGUAGUCCUAGCCGUAAACGAUGGACACUAGGCGUGGGAAGUUAUCGACGCUUUCUGUGCCGAAGCUAACGCAUUAAGUGUCCCGCCUGGGGAGUACGGCCGCAAGGCUAAAACUCAAAGGAAUUGGCGGGG